rnacentral:ncRNA from 2 species
GAUAAUUAAUGAUGCGUUGAAAUGUAAUCUGUAUUUGGGCACUUGGAUUACAUGGAGUGAGUAGUGCAACCGGCUUUUUUUU